ensembl:lncRNA
CACACACACACACACAUACACACGUUAAAUGACCAUUUUGGCUUUCCAUACUCGCUGCUCCGUCUCGCGCACAGUUCCGUGUCUGACAGCGAGACCAAGGAACUCGGAGAGUCUGAGCGCGAGACCGCAGCAGCUGCGAACAGCGGAAGUGAAGACGGUGAGAACUGAAGCCGAGACACGAGAGAAGAAGAGAAGAGCUGUGUGCAAAAAGCAAAAAAUGUGUAAUAAAGGUAUUGUCAAGAGUGGCUUUGAAAAACAUCAUUUAUUUCUGUUCAAAAGCCUGUCAGAUACCGGCGCUCCAAUCCUGACUUUAGAAAUAAAUCCUUUUGAUGCUGGGUGUUAUACAUACAUACAUACAUACAUACACACACAUAUAUAUAUAUAUAUGGUUAUUUUAUCUGCGCGUUUUAUUCUAUCACAAGUUUAUACGCUUACAGCACAACCGCUACUAACCUAAAUUAAUCUCAUCAUACAUCAAUUAAUGCUGAUAUCAGAUUUGAUGGCAGUCUGUUUGGAGUGAGAUGUUUAGAGAGAGGUGUUUGGAGUGAGAUGAGAUGUUUGGAGUGAGAUGUUUAGAGAGAGGUGUGAGAUGUUUGGAGUGAGAUGUUUAGAGUGAGAUGUUUAGAGUGAGGUGUGAUGUUUAGAGUGAGAUGUUUAGAGUGAGGUGUGAUGUUUAGAGUGAGGUGUUUAGAGUGAGGUGUUUAGAGUGAGGUGUGAUGUUUAGAGUGAGAUGUUUAGAGUGAGGUGUUUGGAGAUGAGCUCCUACCUCUGUUCUUCCCCGUGGUGUGAUGGGGUCGGGCGUGUGAACGCUGGCUGUAGUCAAAAAAUCCAUUGAGAAUUAUUAUUCAGCAGACAUGGAGCUCCGAGAUUUAAAACAAAACUAAAAUCCUCGGUUUGUGAUACUUUAAAAAGAGGAAACUCCAGAGAGUCUUCCACACUGUCGAUCACACUCAGCACUGAUUUUCCGGUCCGUAAGGAAUUUUACUAUUUAAUAUCGUGUAAAAAAAACUCGGUACUAGGUAAAGGUUAGACAGAAGACCGCAGAGAGAGAGUUGAACCUGGCAUGAACAUUCUCCAUGACUAUCUCGGUUGAAAUAAAUCGUGUAGUUGUCCGUGAUUGUUUAAAUCCGAGAGGUCGGUUCCUCCGAGUCUCGAGUUUUCAAAGCAGUAGUUCUUGGAAACAUCGUUCCGGUGUACCGAGAAAAAACGCCGCCGUCA